rnacentral:rRNA from 1 species
AGUGAACGCUGGCGGUAGGCCUAACACAUGCAAGUCGGACGGCAGCACAGUAAGAGCUUGCUCUUACGGGUGGCGAGUGGCGGACGGGUGAGGAAUACAUCGGAAUCUACUUUUUCGUGGGGGAUAACGUAGGGAAACUUACGCUAAUACCGCAUACGACCUACGGGUUAAAGCAGGGGAUCUUCGGACCUUGCGCGAUUGAAUGAGCCGAUGUCGGAUUAGCUAGUUGGCGGGGUAAAGGCCCACCAAGGCGACGAUCCGUAGCUGGUCUGAGAGGACGAUCAGCCACACUGGAACUGAGACACGGUCCAGACUCCUACGGGGGGCAGCAGUGGGGAAUAUUGGACAAUGGGCGCAAGCCUGAUCCAGCCAUACCGCGUGGGUGAAGAAGGCCUUCGGGUUGUAAAGCCCUUUUGUUGGGAAAGAAAAGCAGCAGGUUAAUACCCCGCUGUUCUGACGGUACCCAAAGAAUAAGCACCGGCUAACUUCGUG